CCAAGCUGCCGCUGGCCGGCCAGUACAGCUUGAGGAAACAGCCCUAUAACAACCUCAAGCACAAGUUCCCGUGGCUCUCAGAGGCCGGACUCCGUCUGCUCAACUUCCUCUUCAUGUAUGACCCUAAGAAAAGGGCAACCUCGGGAGACUGCCUGGAGAGCUCCUACUUCAAGGAGAAGCCCCUGCCCAGCCACAAAAUGACAAGCUGGUACUCGACAAGGCCAAGGCCACGUUUAGUGAACUCUUGCAGCCCCAUGGUAACAAGCACUGGGAUAAAGGAAUUCAAGUCAGGCGUCUCCUGGGUGCUGCCGGAACCAAAAGAAGUUGGACUUCAAGGUGGAGGCAUAGGCUCAACAUCAUGCCGAGGAAAUCCAAAGCGAUGCCGGGAGAGGUUGGAACACAAGUGUUCAAUAAAUGCCCAAUAACCAAGUUACAUCUAGCCUGACUCCAAGAGGCUCCAACGACCCCACUACUACUGCCGUCUGGGACUGGAAACUCCCCCGUGUCCUGCCACCACCUCCUCACAGCAACCCCAGCUGCCAUGGGUAUUUCCUUUCUUGGGUGGGUCAGCUCGCCUCCGUGGAAGAUGCUGCCUGUGCUCGGAUGCCAGCAUCACCCUAGGGCCCCAGCAGAACCAAAGGGCAUCGCUGUGUGGGACAGUCCAUUGUGUGUGAGAGUAGGCUGAAGAUUACUCAGGCGCCUUCAGGGAACUGCUGUGGGCUCAGGACUACAGUAAUGACUCAAUUCCAGCCG
rnacentral:lncRNA from 1 species